UGUCUGAUGUCAGGCUGACAGGCCCUGCCCAAAAAACACUAUUAAUUUUGGUGGGUCCCUGUUACAGUAACCCCACUCCUCCAAUGGCCCAGCUCAUACUGCUGUAUAUGGCUGAGCUAGCAGUAUGAGCUGGAAAUGCAAAAUGGAAAUACCUUCUGGUUGAAUGGGUGUGAAAAAUAGUUUCACACAAGCCAAUAACAAAAUGCCCCGUAGGCAUUCUAGUAAGAAAAGAAAUACACCUGCAUGCACCCGAACUCCACUUCUCUCCUUCUUUCUCCCCCCUCUCCCUCCCCCAUCUGAUUAACCCGUGCAUUCGACGCCUACGGAAGCUCCAAAAAACCAAAAAUUAAAACAGGAAAAACAUUCGUGACAAUAAACCCAAGAACAGGAGAUGUGAUAACGAGAAUUGCAAAAGGAGAUAAAGAUGUUGAUUUAGCAGUGAAGGCUGCUCGUCAAGCUUUUGAGCAUGGUCCAUGGCCACUCUUGCCUGGUUAAAUCGACGUAGAUCCGGCUUCUGGAAACCCUAAAUCAAGCCAACAGUUCAACAGUAUACUCCAUUGCCGAUUUUGGCAAAAUGUUGUCUGGAGAAAAGGUAUCGAGUGAAGAUUCUUCUUCUUCACUUGUUACUCAUACUUUGAGAAACAAUCCAAUGUGUACUUGUGGGUCACCCGCUUCACUUAAAACAUCGAAUACGCCAAGAAAUCCAGGUCGAUCAUUCUUUGGGUGUUCAAAGUACAAUUCUCAGGGGUUACCACACUGCAACUAUUUCAAAUGGGCAGAUAGCGAUAGCUGCCAUGAAAAAGAAAAAGAAAUUGAGAUGUUAAGGAAGGAGGAAAAGCUUCAGAAAACACAGUUAGAGGUUUAACAACAUGUUAAAGAGGUUCGAAGAAGAGAGGAAGAGGUUCAAAGAAGAGAGGAAGAGGUUCGAAGUUGGAUGGAAGAGAUUCGAAAUUGGAUGGAAGAGAUUCGAAAAAGAGAGGGUGAACUUUUCAAGAGGGACUUGGGAGUCCAGCGUCAAUGCCCAAGUGUUUGGCUCUAUUGUAUAAUUUGUAUCUUACUUUAUUUGUACUUCUCACGAUCGUAGUGAAUACCCAAUAAUCUGGGCAACUUCGUGUAUAAACCUGAUCACUUGUGAUAAUAUGUGCUUUAGAGUAGCUGUAGUCCAACAGUCUACAAAAUUAACUUGAACAAGUCUUUAUUCUGUAUUUAGAGUCUGGUCAGUUCUUUUGAAAAAGUAGGCAACUGACUUACAACUGAUCUUGGAAACUGUUGAUUGUGUCUUUGGGCAUUAGUUCAUUGA